AUGCAGUGCAAAUUUCCUAUUGGCAGUACCACUGACAUGCUAUACUUUCUAUAUUUCCACGUAUGCUCCACAUGUGUUGAUGAGAUACCCAUGAAAGAUGAUUUUGCCAAGUUGCCCAAGACACUGGUGCAGGGGGCUGCAACAUGCUCACCCCUGUUGCCUCUAACAACUAUAGUAGUUCAAGAUCACAGAGGAAUAUCAAAUGUAGCACCAGUUGACUGUCCACUCUGA
rnacentral:rRNA from 1 species